CGGGUGAGAAUCCCGUCCACCGAUUGACUAAGGUUUCCAGAGGAAGGCUCGUCCGCUCUGGGUUAGUCGGGUCCUAAGCUGAGGCCGACAGGCGUAGGCGAUGGAUAACAGGUUGAUAUUCCUGUACCACCUAUAAUCGUUUUAAUCGAUGGGGGGACGCAGUAGGAUAGGCGAAGCGUGCGAUUGGAUUGCACGUCUAAGCAGUAAGGCUGAGUAUUAGGCAAAUCCGGUACUCGUUAAGGCUGAGCUGUGAUGGGGAGAAGACAUUGUGUCUUCGAGUCGUUGAUUUCACACUGCCGAGAAAAGCCUCUAGAUAGAAAAUAGGUGCCCGUACCGCAAACCGACACAGGUAGUCAAGAUGAGAAUUCUAAGGUGAGCGAGCGAACUCUCGUUAAGGAACUCGGCAAAAUGACCCCGUAACUUCGGGAGAAGGGGUGCUCUUUAGGGUUAACGCCCAGAAGAGCCGCAGUGAAUAGGCCCAAGCGACUGUUUAUCAAAAACACAGGUCUCUGCUAAACCGUAAGGUGAUGUAUAGGGGCUGACGCCUGCCCGGUGCUGGAAGGUUAAGAGGAGUGGUUAGCUUCUGCGAAGCUACGAAUCGAAGCCCCAGUAAACGGCGGCCGUAACUAUAACGGUCCUAAGGUAGCGAAAUUCCUUGUCGGGUAAGUUCCGACCCGCACGAAAGGCGUAACGAUUUGGGCACUGUCUCAACGAGAGACUCGGUGAAAUCAUAGUACCUGUGAAGAUGCAGGUUACCCGCGACAGGACGGAAAGACCCCGUGGAGCUUUACUGUAGCCUGAUAUUGAAAUUCGGCACAGCUUGUACAGGAUAGGUAGGAGCCUUUGAAACGUGAGCGCUAGCUUACGUGGAGGCGCUGGUGGGAUACUACCCUAGCUGUGUUGGCUUUCUAACCCGCACCACUUAUCGUGGUGGGAGACAGUGUCAGGCGGGCAGUUUGACUGGGGCGGUCGCCUCCUAAAAGGUAACGGAGGCGCUCAAAGGUUCCCUCAGAAUGGUUGGAAAUCAUUCAUAGAGUGUAAAGGCAUAAGGGAGCUUGACUGCGAGACCUACAAGUCGAGCAGGGUCGAAAGACGGACUUAGUGAUCCGGUGGUUCCGCAUGGAAGGGCCAUCGCUCAACGGAUAAAAGCUACCCCGGGGAUAACAGGCUUAUCUCCCCCAAGAGUUCACAUCGACGGGGAGGUUUGGCACCUCGAUGUCGGCUCAUCGCAUCCUGGGGCUGUAGUCGGUCCCAAGGGUUGGGCUGUUCGCCCAUUAAAGCGGUACGCGAGCUGGGUUCAGAACGUCGUGAGACAGUUCGGUCCCUAUCCGUCGUGGGCGUAGGAAAUUUGAGAGGAGCUGUCCUUAGUACGAGAGGACCGGGAUGGACAUACCUCUGGUGUACCAGUUGUCGUGCCAACGGCAUAGCUGGGUAGCUAUGUGUGGACGGGAUAAGUGCUGAAAGCAUCUAAGCAUGAAGCCCCCCUCAAGAUGAGAUUUCCCAACUUCGGUUAUAAGAUCCCUCAAAGAUGAUGAGGUUAAUAGGUUCGAGGUGGAAGCAUGGUGACAUGUGGAGCUGACGAAUACUAAUCGAUCGAAGACUUAAUCAA
rnacentral:rRNA from 1 species